AAUGCUGAGCAAAUCAAGAAAGGAUUCAAGAUAGCUAGAUAAACUAGUUAAGGAACAUCAAAAGGCUCCAUAUUAUUUCAUACUUGCAAAUAGAGAUUCCAUUUCCUUGAAAGGAUGGAGAAUGCAACAUCAUCUAUUCUUUCCUAGGACAAAUUUUUUAGACCAAAAGAAGGGAUUAUUGUUUAAGGUUUUCAGCUUCAAAAUAAUGCAAGUAAUCCUUUGUAACAACGCAUUUGAUGAGAGAACUCCAUGUCCUAGCAAUCUCUAUCAUUCAAAUCAAGCUUAAGAGUGCACUCACAAAAUAGAAAGACUAAGAAGAAAUUUAUAGAAUGUCUUUCACUAAAAAUUUUGUCCUAUUCUAUAUAGGUUCAACACAUACUUGUGCAAUUCAUUACCAAGGAUAAAUUCUAAAGCUCAAAGAGUUGCAAAGAAGUUGCCUUAAGAUCCUUUACUAGGACUUUAACCAUCUUAGGAUGUUAAGUAUAGAUUUUGGAGCAUCCUCAAUCCAAUUUUCAUUGUCUACUUGCCCUCCAAUGGUUCUAAGAGAUUCAAUGUAAUAUCUGGAAGUUAUGUUGGAUGAGAAAGUGUUUGAACAAACUGACAUGUCUUACCGUAGCUGAUGUAGCCAAAGCAA
rnacentral:misc_RNA from 1 species